rnacentral:ncRNA from 1 species
UGACCGACCGAUAGUGAACCAGUACCGUGAGGGAAAGGCGAAAAGAACCCUGGUGAAGGGAGUGAAAUAGACCCUGAAACCGUGUGCGUACAAGCAGUCGGAGCCCGCAAGGGUGACGGCGUACCUUUUGUAUAAUGGGUCAGCGACUUACUGUUUGUGGCAAGCUUAACCGUAUAGGGGAGGCGAAGGGAAACCGAGUCUGAAUAGGGCGCAUAGUCGCAGGCAGUAGACCCGAAACCGGGUGAUCUAGUCAUGCCCAGGGUGAAGGUUGAGUAACAUCAACUGGAGGCCCGAACCCACUCCCGUUGCAAAGGUAGGGGAUGAGGUGUGAUUAGGAGUGAAAAGCUAAUCGAACCCGGAGAUAGCUGGUUCUCCUCGAAAGCUAUUUAGGUAGCGCCUCAUGUGAAUCUUCUUGGGGGUAGAGCACUGUUAUGGCUAGGGGGUCAUUGUGACUUACCAAACCAUGGCAAACUCCGAAUACCAAGACAGACUGCAUGGGAGACACACGGCGGGUGCUAACGUCCGUCGUGAAAAGGG